rnacentral:lncRNA from 1 species
AUGCCUUCAGCCAUGUGCACCGAAAUGGUCUUGACAAACUGCUGACAUGCUAUGCGCAUCAAAUGCUACUGUGACUGGUAUGAAUUACUGUCUUCUUUCUAUUGUUGUUUUAGACUCAUGACUCAUCUGAUUUUAGCUUAUGAUGACGAGGAUCAGCAUUUGCAAUCAUUCUCACAUCUCUGGAUUCUUAUGCAUUACAGGAACCCUCAGAUCCUAUAAUGAGUCGAAGCAGAUGAGCAAUGGAAAUGGAUGUUACAAGCAUAUAAAAUCUCCCUUGGUUAUAGAUUAUGCCAAUCGAAUGCAUUUUGUAUGAACAAUAUAUAUUAUUUAAAUGAAUGAAUGUCAUUUAUGUGCUUCCAAAUCAAGUCUUUGAAGCUCCAAACCCGCAGCAAAGCGCGGGCACAUUUCUAGUCUCAAACUAUUCAUUGUCAUAUAUCUAGACGAAAUAACUUGUAGUAAGUUCUGAACUUCUAAUAAAAUCUCCUUCAUGAUACCACCUUCACUGCAGCUCAUAAUUCUAGAGCUGGAAACAACUUCAUUACAUUAGCUCAUUCCCACUAUGUACUAAAUCAAAUAGAUCUGAGUAAACUAAAAGGUGUUCAAGCAGUAGCAGCUGGUCAUUUUUUACUGCUAAUAUUUUUGUUUUUUUUUGUUUUUCAGUUAGACUAAGCUCUGGUAUGAACAUAUCAAGAUCUUACUACAAUAAUUAAACAUCAAGCAUUUCAGGUUGAUCAAAGUAAAUUAUAAAUGACUUGUAGCUGAUAAUUGAUGAUCAUUUUGUUACAGAAAAAUGUAAUAAUAGACUGUAAACGUAUAGAUUGUGG